rnacentral:rRNA from 1 species
UACGUAGGGUGCAAGCGUUGUCCGGAAUUAUUGGGCGUAAAGAGCUCGUAGGCGGUCUGUCGCGUCUGCUGUGAAAACCUAGGGCUUAACUCUGGGCGUGCAGUGGGUACGGGCAGGCUAGAGUGCGGUAGGGGGAGACUGGAAUUCCUGGUGUAGCGAUGAAAUGCGCAGAUAUCAGGAGGACACCGGUGGCGAAGGCGGGUCUCUGGGACGGUACUGACGCUGAGACGCGAAAGCGUGGGGAGCGAACAGG